CAACAAGUAAUGUUUGAUGAGACCAAGUUAUCAUCAUACAGCCUGACAAAAAGAGCUACCUUCUCUGUAAACAGCUCCAGUCUCCAAAACAUCUACAUGUCAACAAGUAACUCUCUGAGAUCCACUUAUCAUAAUACAGCCUGGCAUGAAGAACUACCUUCUCUGUAAACAGGAAGGCUUUCCAUCUUCAAAGAUGUCUACACUUCAACAAGUAGAUGUCUAAUAAACUGGCAUGUGAUUAAGGAAC